rnacentral:rRNA from 3 species
UUAAGCGACUAAGCGUACACGGUGGAUGCCCUGGCAGUCAGAGGCGAUGAAGGACGUGCUAAUCUGCGAAAAGCGUCGGUAAGGUGAUAUGAACCGUUAUAACCGGCGAUGUCCGAAUGGGGAAACCCAGUGCAAUUCGUUGCACUAUCGUUAACUGAAUACAUAGGUUAACGAGGCGAACCGGGGGAACUGAAACAUCUAAGUACCCCGAGGAAAAGAAAUCAACCGAGAUUCCCCCAGUAGCGGCGAGCGAACGGGGAGCAGCCCAGAGUCUGAAUCAGCUUGUGUGUUAGUGGAACGGUCUGGAAAGUCCGACGGUACAGGGUGAUAGUCCCGUACACCAAAAUGCACAGGCUGUGAACUCGAAGAGUAGGGCGGGACACGUGGUAUCCUGUCUGAAUAUGGGGGGACCAUCCUCCAAGGCUAAAUACUCCUGACUGACCGAUAGUGAACCAGUACCGUGAGGGAAAGGCGAAAAGAACCCCGGCGAGGGGAGUGAAAAAGAACCUGAAACCGUGUACGUACAAGCAGUGGGAGCACCUUCGGGUGUGACUGCGUACCUUUUGUAUAAUGGGUCAGCGACUUAUAUUCUGUAGCAAGGUUAACCGUAUAGGGGAGCCGCAGGGAAACCGAGUCUUAACUGGGCGUUAAGUUGCAGGGUAUAGACCCGAAACCCGGUGAUCUAGCCAUGGGCAGGUUGAAGGUUGGGUAACACUAACUGGAGGACCGAACCGACUAAUGUUGAAAAAUUAGCGGAUGACUUGUGGCUGGGGGUGAAAGGCCAAUCAAACCGGGAGAUAGCUGGUUCUCCCCGAAAGCUAUUUAGGUAGCGCCUCGUGAAUUCAUCUUCGGGGGUAGAGCACUGUUUCGGCUAGGGGGUCAUCCCGACUUACCAACCCGAUGCAAACUACGAAUACCGAAGAAUGUUAUCACGGGAGACACACGGCGGGUGCUAACGUCCGUCGUGAAGAGGGAAACAACCCAGACCGCCAGCUAAGGUCCCAAAGUCAUGGUUAAGUGGGAAACGAUGUGGGAAGGCACAGACAGCCAGGAUGUUGGCUUAGAAGCAGCCAUCAUUUAAAGAAAGCGUAAUAGCUCACUGGUCGAGUCGGCCUGCGCGGAAGAUGUAACGGGGCUAAACCAUGCACCGAAGCUGCGGCAGCGACACUAUGUGUUGUUGGGUAGGGGAGCGUUCUGUAAGCCUGCGAAGGUGACCUGUGAGGGUUGCUGGAGGUAUCAGAAGUGCGAAUGCUGACAUAAGUAACGAUAAAGCGGGUGAAAAGCCCGCUCGCCGGAAGACCAAGGGUUCCUGUCCAACGUUAAUCGGGGCAGGGUGAGUCGACCCCUAAGGCGAGGCCGAAAGGCGUAGUCGAUGGGAAACAGGUUAAUAUUCCUGUACUUGGUGUUACUGCGAAGGGGGGACGGAGAAGGCUAUGUUAGCCGGGCGACGGUUGUCCCGGUUUAAGCAUGUAGGCUGGUUAUCCAGGCAAAUCCGGAUAAUCAAGGCUGAGGUGUGAUGACGAGGCACUACGGUGCUGAAGUAACAAAUGCCCUGCUUCCAGGAAAAGCCUCUAAGCAUCAGGUAACAUCAAAUCGUACCCCAAACCGACACAGGUGGUCAGGUAGAGAAUACCAAGGCGCUUGAGAGAACUCGGGUGAAGGAACUAGGCAAAAUGGUGCCGUAACUUCGGGAGAAGGCACGCUGGUGUGUAGGUGAAGUCCCUGCGGAUGGAGCUGAGACCAGUCGAAGAUACCAGCUGGCUGCAACUGUUUAUUAAAAACACAGCACUGUGCAAACACGAAAGUGGACGUAUACGGUGUGACGCCUGCCCGGUGCCGGAAGGUUAAUUGAUGGGGUUAUCCGUAAGGAGAAGCUCUUGAUCGAAGCCCCGGUAAACGGCGGCCGUAACUAUAACGGUCCUAAGGUAGCGAAAUUCCUUGUCGGGUAAGUUCCGACCUGCACGAAUGGCGUAAUGAUGGCCAGGCUGUCUCCACCCGAGACUCAGUGAAAUUGAACUCGCUGUGAAGAUGCAGUGUACCCGCGGCAAGACGGAAAGACCCCGUGAACCUUUACUAUAGCUUGACACUGAACAUUGAGCCUUGAUGUGUAGGAUAGGUGGGAGGCUUUGAAGCGUGGACGCCAGUCUGCGUGGAGCCAACCUUGAAAUACCACCCUUUAAUGUUUGAUGUUCUAACGUUGGCCCCUUACCGGGGUUGCGGACAGUGUCUGGUGGGUAGUUUGACUGGGGCGGUCUCCUCCCAAAGCGUAACGGAGGAGCACGAAGGUUAGCUAAUCCUGGUCGGACAUCAGGAGGUUAGUGCAAUGGCAUAAGCUAGCUUGACUGCGAGCGUGACGGCGCGAGCAGGUGCGAAAGCAGGUCAUAGUGAUCCGGUGGUUCUGAAUGGAAGGGCCAUCGCUCAACGGAUAAAAGGUACUCCGGGGAUAACAGGCUGAUACCGCCCAAGAGUUCAUAUCGACGGCGGUGUUUGGCACCUCGAUGUCGGCUCAUCACAUCCUGGGGCUGAAGUAGGUCCCAAGGGUAUGGCUGUUCGCCAUUUAAAGUGGUACGCGAGCUGGGUUUAGAACGUCGUGAGACAGUUCGGUCCCUAUCUGCCGUGGGCGCUGGAGAAUUGAGGGGGGCUGCUCCUAGUACGAGAGGACCGGAGUGGACGCAUCACUGGUGUUCGGGUUGUCAUGCCAAUGGCACUGCCCGGUAGCUAAAUGCGGAAGAGAUAAGUGCUGAAAGCAUCUAAGCACGAAACUUGCCCCGAGAUGAGUUCUCCCUGAGACUUUAAGUCUCCUGAAGGAACGUUGAAGACGACGACGUUGAUAGGCCGGGUGUGUAAGCGCAGCGAUGCGUUGAGCUAACCGGUACUAAUGAACCGUGAGGCUUAACCUU